ACUAAAAGAACUUUGGUAAAGAUUUUCAAUAUUGAAUAAAUACACACAAUAUAUUCUGUUCUCCCUCUUCCCUUUAUCUGUGAUGAUGCCGGCAAAAUUGAACCCGCAAGCCGGAACACAUUUGGAACGCAAGCUGGAACGCACGGAUAUGACGCGACGGCUUGCGAUCGAAAAAAACGGAAGUGACGUAUCGAUAGUGCUACCCGGAAAUGAAGAGAGAAAGAGGCUUGACACGCAGGGCGUCACCAUUCCCAUGGUGAUAGCCCGCGAAAAUUCAAGCCGAAAAACAAGCAUCUUCACCCCAGGAGGGGUACAUAUAGCAGGAGCCAGUGCAAGAAGGUACA